UCAUCUUCGGGGGUAGAGCACUGUUUCGGCUAGGGGGUCAUCCCGACUUACCAACCCGAUGCAAACUACGAAUACCGAAGAAUGUUAUCACGGGAGACACACGGCGGGUGCUAACGUCCGUCGUGAAGAGGGAAACAACCCAGACCGCCAGCUAAGGUCCCAAAGUCAUGGUUAAGUGGGAAACGAUGUGGGAAGGCCCAGACAGCCAGGAUGUUGGCUUAGAAGCAGCCAUCAUUUAAAGAAAGCGUAAUAGCUCACUGGUCGAGUCGGCCUGCGCGGAAGAUGUAACGGGGCUAAACCAUGCACCGAAGCUGCGGCAGCGACACUAUGUGUUGUUGGGUAGGGGAGCGUUCUGUAAGCCGUUGAAGGUGGCCUGUGAGGGUUGCUGGAGGUAUCAGAAGUGCGAAUGCUGACAUAAGUAACGAUAAUGCGGGUGAAAAACCCGCACGCCGGAAGACCAAGGGUUCCUGUCCAACGUUAAUCGGGGCAGGGUGAGUCGACCCCUAAGGCGAGGCCGAAAGGCGUAGUCGAUGGGAAACAGGUUAAUAUUCCUGUACUUGGUGUUACUGCGAAGGGGGGACGGAGAAGGCUAUGUUGGCCGG
rnacentral:rRNA from 1 species